GCGGAAGUGGUGGAAUUGGUAGACACGCUAUCUUGAGGGGGUAGUGGCAAUUGCCGUGGGGGUUCGAGUCCCCCCUUCCGCACCA
rnacentral:tRNA from 2 species